GGCCAGUUAGCUCAGUUGGUUAGAGUGUGGUGCUGGUAACACCAAUGUCCAAGGUUUAAUUCCUGUACUGGCCA